ACAAUUAAAGCUCAUAACACAUGGCCUAGAAGUUAUUAGGUGGCCUCACCCCACCAGCGAGAGGCAAUACAGUUCGAUUAUGUACUUAGAAGCCUCAGCUGAUGGACAGAUUGUUUAAGAUUGAAGAGCCCAUUCAUGCUUCACGGAGGGAAACGAGAUUUUUUUCAUACAACCUCAGUGAAGGAGACGAUGAACACGGGCUGCUACUGGAGGUAUUACUCCAGGACUUCUGGCUUUACUUGCAUAUAGGGCACGUGGACUUCAUAAUGUUGGAGAAUGUUCUUGGCAGAAAGUAGAAAGAGGUAUGGAGCAUGCUUGAGAUUGACUAAUCAUAUUUUGAACAUUUCAACUAUCUGGCGAUUCACCAGGAUUCAACUGAUUGGCCUCUCAGUCCCCUAGCCUCAGAUCCUUCCUGGUCCUUCUUAUUGGCAGGAAUGUUUUGACAUUAGCUGUUUCAGAAGGGGAAAGGUUGCAUGAUAAACUGAACUUGGAAAAGCAUCCUCUUUGAUUUUCACAAUGAGAUAUGCUUGUACACACAUGAUGCUACAAGAACAGAUUUGUAGCAGCAUUACAAAUAAUGUUUUAAUUACAA